rnacentral:rRNA from 1 species
CCUACGGGAGGCAGCAGUGAGGAAUAUUGGUCAAUGGACGAGAGUCUGAACCAGCCAAGCCGCGUGCAGGAUGACUGCCCUAUGGGUUGUAAACUUCUUUUAUAUGGGAAUAAAAUGAUCUACGUGUGUGAUUUUGUAAGUACCAUACGAAUAAGGAUCGGCUAACUCCGUGCCAGCAGCCGCGGUAAUACGGAGGAUCCAAGCGUUAUCCGGAUUUAUUGGGUUUAAAGGGAGCGUAGGCGGUUUGUUAAGUCAGUUGUGAAAGUUGGAGGCUCAACCGUAAAAUUGCAGUUGAUACUGGCAGUCUAGAGUACAGUAGAGGUAGGCGGAAUGCGUGGUGUAGCGGUGAAAUGCUUAGAGAUCACGCAGAACACCGAUUGCGAAGGCAGCUUACUGGACUGCAACUGACGCUGAGGCUCGAAAGUGUGGGGAUCAAACAGGAUUAGAUACCCCGGUAGUC